AACGAACGCUGGCGGCACGUUUUAAGCAUGCAAGUCGAAUGGCAGUGGGGGCAACCCCUUGAGAAUGGCGAACGGGUGAGUAACACGUAGGUGAUCUGCCUGACGGUUGGGGAUAGCCUGUGGAAACACAGGGUAAUACCGAAUGAGCUGACGACACUUUGGUGAUGUUAGUAAAGGUGCUACGGCACCGCCGACAGAGGAGCCUGCGGCUGAUUAGCUAGUUGGUGGGGUAAAGGCCUACCAAGGCGACGAUCAGUAGCCGGCCUGAGAGGGUGUACGGCCACACUGGAACUGAGACACGGUCCAGACUCCUACGGGAGGCAGCAGCUAAGAAUCUUCCGCAAUGGGCGAAAGCCUGACGGAGCGAUGCCGCGUGAUCGAUGAAGGUCGAGAGAUUGUAAAGAUCUUUUCCACAUGAGGAAUAAGUCUGGGAGGGAAUGCCUGGAUGAUGACGUUAGUGUGGGAAUAAGCCCCGGCUAAUUACGUGCCAGCAGCCGCCGUAA
rnacentral:rRNA from 1 species